UACGUAGGGUGCGAGCGUUGUCCGGAAUUACUGGGCGUAAAGGGCUCGUAGGUGGCCAACUAAGUCAGACGUGAAAUCCCUCGGCUUAACCGGGGAACUGCGUCUGAUACUGGAUGGCUUGAGUUUGGGAGAGGGAUGCGGAAUUCCAGGUGUAGCGGUGAAAUGCGUAGAUAUCUGGAGGAACACCGGUGGCGAAGGCGGCGUUCUGGACUGCUACUGACACUGAGGAACGAAAGCCAGGGGAGCAAACGGG
rnacentral:rRNA from 1 species